rnacentral:sRNA from 1 species
UUGACAGCCUGAGGAACCUGCAUUCCUCUAUUUAUACCUUAAAGCAGUACAGUAUGGGCAGUAAGAGUGCAAUAUUCCACAUCCCUAUAAUGUGCCUCAACCCUAUUGGGAGGGACCAAUUCUAGAGGUAAGAGGGUUGUUUACUCUCUAUGCCCAUUUAACCCUUGACAUCU